GAUGAAGAACGUAGCGAAAUGCGAAAAGUAGUGUGAAUUGCAGAAUUCAGUGAAUCAUCGAAUGUUUGAACGCACAUUGCGCCCCUUGGUAUCCCGAGGGGCAUGCCUGUUCGAGCGUCAUUUCACCACUCAAGCCUGGCUUGGUGUUGGGCGACGUCCUCUUUGGGGACGCGCCUCGAAACGCUCGGCGGCGUGGCACCGGCUUUAAGCGUAGCAGAAUCUUUCGCUUUGGAAGUCGGGGCCCCGUCUGCCGGAAGACCUGCUCGCAAGGUUGACCUCGGAUCAGGCAGGGAUACCCGCUGAACUUAAGCAUAUCAAAAGCGGAGGA
rnacentral:misc_RNA from 1 species